rnacentral:rRNA from 1 species
CCAAUGCACGAAAGUGUGAUGGAGCGACGCCGCGUGUAGGACGAAGUCCUUCGGGAUGUAAACUACUGUCAGGGGAAAGAAAGAUCUGAUCUACCCCAGAGGAAGUGGCGACUAACUCUGUGCCAGCAGUCGCGGUAAUACAGAGGCCACAAGCGUUAGGCGGAAUCACUGGGCUUAAAGCGUGUGUAGGCGGGAUGGUAAGUACCUUGUGAAAUCCCACGGCUUAACCGUGGAAAUGCUUGGUAUACUGCCGUUCUUGAGUCAUCUAGAGGCAACCGGAACAGAUGGUGGAGCGGUGAAAUGCAUAGAUAUCAUCUGGAACGCCAAUGGUGCAGACAGGUUGCUGGGGAUGUACUGACGCUGAGGCACGAAAGCCAGGGGAGCGAACGGGAUUAGAUACCCCGGUAGCCCUGGCCCUAAACGAUGUCUACUAGAUCGUGGCGGUUUUGACGCCGUCAUGGUCGAAGCAAAAGUGUUAAGUAGACCGCCUGGGAAGUACGGUCGCAAGGCUAAA